rfam:TPA: Bos taurus chromosome 21, whole genome shotgun sequence.
UCCCUGGAGGUCCAGUGGUUAAGACUCUGCUCUUGCAAUGCAAAGGGCACAGGUUUGAUCCCUGGUCAGGGAA